rnacentral:lncRNA from 1 species
UGCUAUUCAACCAUGAGCAUGGUAGAUGAGUGGAGUAUUGUUAGGCGCAAGGUGGAUGAAGAAGAGAAACAAAGUCUGGGACAAUAAGGCAAAUAAACUGUUCAUAUGUUCAUCCUAUAAUUUCAUAUACUAGCUUGUUAUUAACUAGGAAUGUUAAACAAGUUCCCUCUGUUCAGUCUCGUGUUGGUAUUGCGGAGCUGAUUAUGGUUUCAUUGAUGCCAAUAGAUUUAUGUUGAUAGGCAAAUGGUGUACUUGGAUUAACCAUGCGCAACAGAUUUCAUUGUAAUUGCCUACAACUUGAUUGUACCCCUGGCAUCAACUAUUAAACCUGAGCUCAUGCUCGUCGCCGAAAAAGAAGAAAACCACUCUAACUAGUAAGAAAACUAGACACUGAAGUUGCUAGUCAGAUGCCCUCGUCUCCAUGCCAACGGAUUCCAUUUAAAACGAGCAGACCAAAUGAAGUAGCGACAGGUAACGAAAAGAAUUUUCCACUCUAAAGAGAGUCAAAUGAAGAAAGAACCUGUAGUUAUGCAAACGUACCCUUGGUUGGUUGGUGAAACUUAACAUUUGCUUUUUUUAGUCAGGAUGAGUGUUCCUAUAUAUACCCUUUCUUCCACAGACCACAGUCCACAAAACAUUAUAAAGAUCACCACUUCCUAUUGCUGUAUCCCCUUUUCCUUAUGCAAGUCUUG